rnacentral:tRNA from 1 species
ACGGGGGUGGCCCAGUCAGGUAGGGCGCGAGCCUCAUGAGCUCGAGGUCACUGGUUCAAAUCCAGCCCCCCGUACCA